AUUGAACGCUGGCGGCAGGCCUAACACAUGCAAGUCGAGCGGAUGAAGGGAGCUUGCUCCUGGAUUCAGCGGCGGACGGGUGAGUAAUGCCUAGGAAUCUGCCUGGUAGUGGGGGAUAACGUCCGGAAACGGGCGCUAAUACCGCAUACGUCCUGAGGGAGAAAGUGGGGGAUCUUCGGACCUCACGCUAUCAGAUGAGCCUAGGUCGGAUUAGCUAGUUGGUGGGGUAAAGGCCUACCAAGGCGACGAUCCGUAACUGGUCUGAGAGGAUGAUCAGUCACACUGGAACUGAGACACGGUCAAGACUCCUACGGGAGGCAGCAGUGGGGAAUAUUGGACAAUGGGCGUAAGCCUGAUCCAGCCAUGCCGCGUGUGUGAAGAAGGUCUUCGGAUUGUAAAGCACUUUAAGUUGGGAGGAAGGGCAGUAAGUUAAUACCUUGCUGUUUUGACGUUACCAACAGAAUAAGCACCGGCUAACUUCGUG
rnacentral:rRNA from 1 species